CCUANGGGAGGCUGCAGUGAGGAAUAUUGCGCAAUGCCCGAAAGGGUGACGCAGCGACGCCGCGUGGAGGAUGAAGGCCCUACGGGUCGUAAACUCCUUUUGUGAGGGAAUAAUUUCUCGCUAUAGGCGAGAUUGAAUGUACCUCAGGAAAAAGCAUCGGCUAACUACGUGCCAGCAGCCGCGGUAAUACGUAGGAUGCUAGCGUUGUCCGGAUUUACUGGGUGUAAAGGGAGCGCAGGCGGGUUGGUAAGUCGGUGGUGAAAUUCUUAGGCUUAACCUGAGAACUGCCAUCGAUACUGCUAAUCUUGAGUGCAGAAGAGGUUGAUGGAAUUCUAGGUGUAGCGGUGAAAUGCGUAGAUAUCUAGAAGAACACCGAUGGCGAAGGCAGUCAACUGGUCUGCUACUGACGCUCAUGCUCGAAAGCGUGGGGAUCAAACAGGAUUAGAUACCCUGNUANUC
rnacentral:rRNA from 1 species